AGGUCCCAGCCCGCUCCCGUCCACGAACACAAACAAGACACGGACGGCGACAUAUGUGGACGGGACUUACUUGUGUUCCAGCGGGCUAGUGGACGAAUAUACCGGCUAGGAAUCAGCCGGCGAGGUCCCAGCCCGCUCCCGUCCACGAACACAAACAAGACACGGUCGGCGACAUAUGUGGACGGUACUUGUGUUCCAGCGGGCUAGGGGACGAAUAUACCGGCUAGGAGUCAGCCGGUCACGAAGACAAAGACGACACGGACGGCGAGAAGACAAAGACGACACGGACGGCGAUAGGAGACAGCCGGCGAGGUCCCAGCCCGCGCCCGUCCACGAAGACAAACAAGAGGGGACGAAUAUACCGGCUAGGAGACAGCCGGGGAGGUCCCAGCCCGCGCCCAUCCACGAACACAAACAAGACA
rnacentral:lncRNA from 1 species